CGGACGGGUGAGUAACGCGUAAAGAACUUGCCCUUUAGACUGGGAUAACAGAGGGAAACUUCUGAUAAUACUGGAUAAGUUAGUAUAUCGCAUGAUAUGCAAAUGAAAGCUACGGCACUAAAGGAGAGCUUUGCGUCCUAUUAGCUAGUUGGUAAGGUAAGAGCUUACCAAGGCGAUGAUAGGUAGCCGGCCUGAGAGGGUGGACGGCCACAAGGGGACUGAGAUACGGCCCUUACUCCUACAGGAGGCAGCAGCA
rnacentral:rRNA from 1 species